rnacentral:rRNA from 1 species
AUUGAACGCUGGCGGCAUGCCUUACACAUGCAAGUCGAACGGCAGCACGGGAGCAAACCUGGUGGCGAGUGGCGAACGGGUGAGUAAUAUAUCGGAACGUGCCCAGUAGUGGGGGAUAACUGCUCGAAAGAGCAGCUAAUACCGCAUACGACCGGAGGGGGAAAGGGGGGGAUCGCAAGACCUCUCCCUAUUGGAGCGGCCGACAUCAGAUUAGCUAGUUGGUGGGGUAAAGGCCUACCAAGGCAACGAUCUGUAGUUGGUCUGAGAGGACGACCAGCCACACUGGGACUGAGACACGGCCCAGACUCCUACGGGAGGCAGCAGUGGGGAAUUUUGGACAAUGGGCGCAAGCCUGAUCCAGCAAUGCCGCGUGCAGGAAGAAGGCCUUCGGGUUGUAAACUGCUUUUGUCAGGGAAGAAAUCCUCUAGGUUAAUACCCUUGGGGGGAUGACGGUACCUGAAGAAUAAGCACCGGCUAACUACGUGCCAGCCGCCGCCGUAACAC